AGGGAUGCGGUUGCUGAUUCGGAUCAUCUCAAUCAAUUGAUUGGGAAGAGAUUACUUUUUUUAAUGCUAAAAAUAUUUUUUCUCUUCUUUCCUCAGUAUUUACCGUUGUGCCCCUAUGCUAUCAAGAAGAAGGAAUACCCGGCAAAGUCCCAUCUACUCAUAGCGGGUUAUUUCACUCCUAAAUUCAGGCAGUGAACUUGGUUUGCGCAAGAAUAGGUUGAGAGCUUUAGACACGGGAACAGAACUGAAAGCAAGUAGACAGAUAGGUUGUUUUCGACGAAUCCCCUGCUUGAGAAUCAGCUGUUCGCCUUUCUCUCGGCUCCUAACAGCCUUACAUAAUGAAAUCCAAAUAAAGAAAGAAGGAAUACCCGGCAAAGUCCCAUCUACUCAUAGCGGAUUAUCUCACUCCUAAAUUCAUUCAGUGAACUUGGUUUGCGCAAGAAUAGGUUGAGAGCUUUAGACACGGGAAUAGAACUGAAAGCAAGUAAACAGAUAGGUUGUUUUCGACGAAUCCCCUGCUUGAGAAUCAGCUGUUCGCCUUUCUCUCGGCUCCUAACAGCCUUACAUAAUGAAAUCCAAAUAAAGAACCAAAGACGAGAGGCUUAAAGCCAAGUAUUCACUUCAGUCUUAAGCCGGACAUUGCGGUUGGUUGGGUGAAAUAAGAUCCCUAUGGUAUCUUU
rnacentral:lncRNA from 1 species